AUGGUAGAGGCGCAGAAAACAUCAGUAUUUCCGCUGGGACAACGGCCAGGCCGCCGCCGCGGAGAGAAAGGGUUUUCUGCCGAAGGUCCAUCCUCCGGCCGGGAGGUUGGUUCCUGGGCUGACGGAGAACAUCCGUCAGACUGUCACAGCAAUGUGGAGUGCUAUCA
rnacentral:ncRNA from 1 species